CUCUCAUCCACAAACUGCCUUGCAGAGCCCAUUGUGACAGUGAAGGGUGAGCUCUGUGAUUGGCCAGGGGCCUCGAUGUCAUAAAGGCCAGGCCCUGGUGCCAGAGAAUAAAAGGAGAGCACCGUGGGGUGGAGAAGGGACUGCCAGUCUUCUGGCGGAGGAAGCCUCUUCUCCUCGUGCUCUUUCCCUUUGCAGCCUUCCUUCCCCAAACCCACUGAACAUGGCCUUGGAACCCACAUAGCAUUCCAGUUCCAGGCCCCAAGACUUCCCACUGCUCACAUCCACCUUCUCCACCCAGCAUCAAACAGCUGAAAAGCCGCUCAGACCUCGAAACUUACUCUAACCUAGAAGAUGUCUAGAAGCCAGUCGGGGUCCAGGAGCAGGCCUCUACCUACAUUUAUGUGGGUAAAUGAAGUCACAGCACAAAUUACCUACCCUACAUGGAAGAUAGAUCCUCCUGCGCCACCUCCUGCUUCUCUGCUGAGCCUGAGACGUGGACCCCUGCCUGGAUGUGGGGCUGGGGACGUGGCUCCUCCCUGUCUCACAGGCCCACCUCUUGUCCCUACACAGACAUUGAAUCCAGUGGCGCCCCCUGCUGCUACCUCCCUAAGCGAAAGUGGCACAAGGAGCCUUGGCGCUGGCCAGGUGCCUACUGCUGCCAAGAGCCCUCGAUCUCUGCCAGACAUGGGCACCCCCCACUCUCCAUCCCCAGGCCUCCCACCACUAGGUGGGCCAUUGGCACCGCGCCCUCAGCCACUGGCCUCUACAUUUCCCUCCCACCGAGGCACUGUCCCAGCCCGAGGGCUUUCCUACUUUUAUGAUUUGUCCACGAAGGUGACAUCUUUCAGCCCGCAGACAGCCGUCUUCCAAGCUGUUUACAGGACCUUGCACAGGGUCUUCAGGGGCUUCCAGCCUGUCACAAAUCAUGACCUGGUUUGACCUUUAAAAUGUCUCAAAAUCUAAUACUGAAGCCUUUCUUGAAUGUUUAUUUUAUUGCUUUCCAUAUAUACAUAUAUAAUUCUUCUAAACACUUUUUAAAACAAUAUCGUGUUUCAUUCUUUGUGCUAACAUGAGCUUUUUCCAUUUUAAAAAUUAAAAAAUAUGAUCAUUAGGAAUAAGAAGUCAAUAGAUUAAAAAUAAGAUAGGACACAGAUGACAUAAGGC
rnacentral:lncRNA from 1 species